CCAGACUCCUACGGGAGGCAGCAGUGGGGAAUAUUGCACAAUGGGCGCAAGCCUGAUGCAGCCAUGCCGCGUGUGUGAAGAAGGCCUUCGGGUUGUAAAGCACUUUCAGCGGGGAGGAAGGCGACAAGGUUAAUAACCUUGUCGAUUGACGUUACCCGCAGAAGAAGCACCGGCUAACUCCGUGCCAGCAGCCGCGGUAAUACGGAGGGUGCAAGCGUUAAUCGGAAUUACUGGGCGUAAAGCGCACGC
rnacentral:rRNA from 1 species